rnacentral:tRNA from 1 species
GGUAAAAUGGCUGAUUAUAGGUAGUAAACUGUAAAUUUAUUAAUGGGAUUAAUAUCUCUUUUACCA